GACAUCCAGAGAACUUGGCAGAGAUGCCUUGGUGCCUUCGGGAACUCUGAGACAGGUGCUGCAUGGCUGUCGUCAGCUCGUGUUGUGAAAUGUUGGGUUAAGUCCCGCAACGAGCGCAACCCCUAUCCUUUGUUGCCAGCGAUUCGGUCGGGAACUCAAAGGAGACUGCCGGUGAUAAACCGGAGGAAGGUGGGGAUGACGUCAAGUUAUCAUGGCCCUUACGAGUAGGGCUACACACGUGCUACAAUGGCGUAUACAAAGAGAAGCGACCUCGCGAGAGCAAGCGGACCUCAUAAAGUACGUCGUAGUCCGGAUUGGAGUCUGCAACUCGACUCCAUGAAGUCGGAAUCGCUAGUAAUCGUAGAUCAGAAUGCUACGGUGAAUACGUUCCCGGGCCUUGUACACACCGCCCGUCACACCAUGGGAGUGGGUUGCAAAAGAAGUAGAUAGCUUAACCUUCGGGAGGGCGUUUACCACUUUGUGAUUCAUGACUGGGGUGAAGUCGUAACAAGGUAAGCGUACGUGU
rnacentral:rRNA from 1 species